UACGGGGGGAGCAAGCGUUGUUCGGAUUUACUGGGCGUAAAGGGCGCGUAGGCGGUCAGCACAAGUCAAUUGUGAAAUCUCCGAGCUUAACUCGGAAAGGUCGAACUGAAACUGUGCUGACUAGAGUGCGGAAGGGGCGAACUGGAAUUCUUGGUGUAGCGGUGAAAAUGCGUAGAUAUCGUGAGGAACACCAGAGGCGAAGGCGGCUACCUGGACAAUUGCUGACGCUCAGGCACGAAAAGCGUGGGGAGCAAAAGGG
rnacentral:rRNA from 1 species